rnacentral:rRNA from 1 species
GUGAACGCUGGCGGUAGGCCUAACACAUGCCAGUCGAACGGCAGCACCGUAAGAGCUUGCUCUUACGGGUGGCGAGUGGCGGACGGGUGAGGAAUACAUCGGAAUCUACUUUUUCGUGGGGGAUAACGUAGGGAAACUUACGCUAAUACCGCAUACGACCUACGGGUGAAAGCAGGGGAUCUUCGGACCUUGCGCGAUUGAAUGAGCCGAUGUCAGAUUAGCUAGUUGGCGGGGUAAAGGCCCACCAAGGCGACGAUCCGUAGCUGGUCUGAGAGGAUGAUCAGCCACACUGGAACUGAGACACGGUCCAGACUCCUACGGGAGGCAGCAGUGGGGAAUAUUGGACAAUGGGCGCAAGCCUGAUCCAGCCAUACCGCGUGGGUGAAGAAGGCCUUCGGGUUGUAAAGCCCUUUUGUUGGGAAAGAAAAGCAGCAGGUUAAUACCCCGCUGUUCUGACGGUACCCAAAGAAUAAGCACCGGCUAACUUCGUG